AUCCAUACGAGCCCACAAAUCUCGAUCAGAAGUCCUGCUUCAGGAAAUCAGCACAGUAUGCUAGUACUGCGCUGAUCCUUCUUUGAUGGUUGAUCAGGUGCCUCCUUCUUCUUGAUUUGGACUCUUCCAAAGAUGGAAAGUAAAAAGAGGAGUUUCAGAUCUGAGAUGCUCUCAGGAAAUUCAAGAUGGAGGGAGGAAA
rnacentral:lncRNA from 1 species